rnacentral:rRNA from 1 species
AUUGAACGCUGGCGGCAUGCUUUACACAUGCAAGUCGAACGGUAACAGGCCGCAAGGUGCUGACGAGUGGCGCACGGGUGAGUAAUGCAUCGGAACGUGCCCAGUCGUGGGGGAUAACUACUCGAAAGAGUAGCUAAUACCGCAUACGAUCUAUGGAUGAAAGCGGGGGACCGUAAGGCCUCGCGCGAUUGGAGCGGCCGAUGUCAGAUUAGGUAGUUGGUGGGGUAAAGGCUCACCAAGCCAACGAUCUGUAGCUGGUCUGAGAGGACGACCAGCCACACUGGGACUGAGACACGGCCCAGACUCCUACGGGAGGCAGCAGUGGGGAAUUUUGGACAAUGGGCGCAAGCCUGCUCCAGCAAUGCCGCGUGCAGGAAGAAGGCCUUCGGGUUGUAAACUGCUUUUGUACGGAACGAAACGGCUCUGGUUAAUACCCGGGGCUAAUGACGGUACCGUAAGAAUAAGCACCGGCUAACUACGUG